rnacentral:misc_RNA from 1 species
AAGUCGUAACAAGGUUUCCGUAGGUGAACCUGCUGGAAGGAUUAUUACCGUAGUUAGGGUCCCUUUGGGGACCCGAAACCUCCCAAGCCCUGGUGUCUAUUGCUUACCCAUUUGAGUUGCUUCCGGCGGGGCCGGCCGGUCCUGACCAACUGGUCUCGCUGGCCGCCGGUCGUGGGUUUCCACGAUUGGAGAGCUCGCCCGCCAGAUGGCCCAACACAAAACUCUGGUACGAAACACUGUCGUCUAAAAUACCUUGAUAUUAAUCAAAAAACAAAAA